UACGGGGGGGGUAAGCGUUGUUCGGAAUUACUGGGCGUAAAGGGCUCGUAGGCGGCCAACUAAGUCAUACGUGAAAUCCCUCAGCUUAACUGGGGAACUGCGUGUGAUACUGGAUGGCUUGAGAUUGGGAGAGGGAUGCGGAAUUCCAGGUGUAGCGGUGAAAUGCGUAGAUAUCUGGAGGAACACCGGUGGCGAAGGCGGCAUCCUGGACCAACACUGACGCUGAGGAGCGAAAGCCAGGGGAGCAAACGGG
rnacentral:rRNA from 1 species